CCCAACUAUUUUAUUUUUUCAUUAGGUGAAAAGCACAAACUUUACCUGAUACAAUACAGCAUAAAUCACAAAUACAUUCAUUCAUUCAUUAAUGUAGUGCUAUUAAUAUUGUGUUUGGAGCCUAAAGACACUAGCAAAAUUCCAUAGUUACAUCUACUUAGCAAACAUUAGGGCCAAACCCCACAAACCCAUUUGCCCCAUCAAAAGAAAUUUGAAUCCCCUCUUGCUGAAUGUUCCCUAUGAUGGAUAGUCCUGAAGGGGAUGCUGCAAACGCAAAACAAUAUGUCCCCACAUCAUCCACUGGAAUCAGAAAGUUGUUUGCUGGAAGGGUCAGGAUUGGCCCGCCCGAGAAAUAGAAUGAGACGGUUGGUACCCGAACCGACACAAACCCAAAUAGGUUAUAACAAGUAUCGAAUAUGGAUAUGCCGGAAGCCCGAGGGAGGUUUCCAGUUUGUGCGAUAAAAGCAUUACGGAAUGCCACGUAAGCCACCGUAGGAAGUCUAGUGACAGCAGUCCCAGUGUCCAUAACAACUCCCCCAUUGCCCACUUCAUUCAACUGAAAAACUUCUUCUGAUAUGGGCACCUUCAUGCCUCCGACUCCUAGACCCGAAAGCCCGAUAUAAUAGAAGCUUGGGGCCCGUGGGUUACGGAUCAGAGGAAUCCAAGCAGCACCCACGGGCAUUGCUCCACGCCCAAAUUCCAAUGAUCCAGAAACUUCGCUUCCCCGACUCACUAAACAGUAACUAAAUGCACCGCCAGUUUGACCUCCCAAUUGUCCCACCAGAGACAUGGAUCCACCUCCGAGGCCUAGUAGUCCGGCCGCUCCAACAAACAUGCCUCGGUUCCUGUGCCCGCACCCGAUGGCCACAUUGCGGACCACUGUCCGCCCGAAUGUAAGCGUUUCGAGGGCAAGGGUCCCCUUGGUGUAUGACCCAUCACCAUACAUUACCUCAUACCGACACCGACCCGCAUGGCAACCCGAGUUAUCAACUCUGUCACAAACCGCCGAGCUACAAGACACCCCUAUAAACGAUGCAGAGUUGGACGGGUCGAAUACUGGGUCGGUUUGAUUGUAACACUGGGUGCAAGGUUGGCAUUGGACCCAAACUAUAUCACUGCCCGAAUCAAUAACCACGUAUUGAUCUCUUGGCGGGCUGCCAACGCCUAUUCUAACAAAAUAUUCUCCGCUACCUUGAUCCAUGCCGGACACCACCUCCGAUCCAAAGUCCUCCACCGUAUAACUGGCGGUGCCUGAAAGGCGACGGAUGAGGCUAGCCACCCUCUUCAUGUCUCUGUGUAUGCGUGCAUGGAGAAGGUUGGAGUUGUUGAAACUUAUCUUGUCUCUAUGGACUAGUUUUAGCUUCCAUUGUCCGUUAGUUUGAGUGUCAUUCUGAUUCUUGAAGGGUUCUUGAUAUUGGGAUGUUUUGAAAGACUUAGUUUUUGUUUCCGUGAUAGCUUCUUUGACGUUCAAGAAUUGGAAAUCAGGGUAGGAGAUGGUAUUCGUUGUGAUGCUUGUCACAAGUAGUAGUAGCAGCAGCAGCGGCAGGGAAACAAGUGGGUGAGGGGGUAGCAAUAGCAUGAUUUUUGUUCUUGGUGGUUUUUGGGGGGAAAGGGUGAGGGUGGAGAGGGAUUUAUUUGCGUUGGGUUUUGGGAUGCGAAGAGGAAAAAAGGAGUGUUUGUGGGGCUUGAAAUAAUUGGAGAGAUAUUUUUCUUUGUAGUUUUUGGUUUGGACUGACUGAU
rnacentral:misc_RNA from 1 species